UACAGAGGGUGCAAGCGUUAAUCGGAAUUACUGGGCGUAAAGCGCGCGUAGGUGGUUUGUUAAGUUGGAUGUGAAAUCCCCGGACUCAACCUGGGAACUGCAUCCAAAACUGGCAAGCUAGAGUAUGGUAGAGGGUGGUGGAAUUUCCUGUGUAGCGGUGAAAUGCGUAGAUAUAGGAAGGAACACCAGUGGCGAAGGCGACCACCUGGACUGAUACUGACACUGAGGUGCGAAAGCGUGGGGAGCAAACAGG
rnacentral:rRNA from 1 species